GGCGGCGUAGCUCAGCUGGCUAGAGCGUACGGUUCAUACCCGUAAGGCCGGGGGUUCGAGCCCCUCUGCCGCUACUA
rnacentral:tRNA from 1 species